GCCGGGCAUGGUGGCUCAUGCCUGUAAUCCAGUACUUUGGAGGCCAAGGCAGGUGGAUCACCUGAGGUCGGGAGUUCAAGAACAGCCUGACCAACAUGGUGAAACCCUGGCUUUA
rnacentral:sRNA from 1 species